rnacentral:rRNA from 1 species
GAUGAACGCUGGCGGCGUGCCUAAUACAUGCAAGUCGAGCGAACGGACGAGAAGCUUGCUUCUCUGAUGUUAGCGGCGGACGGGUGAGUAACACGUGGAUAACCUACCUAUAAGACUGGGAUAACUUCGGGAAACCGAAGCUAAUACCGGAUAAUAUUUUGAACCGCAUGGUUCAAAAGUGAAAGACGGUCUUGCUGUCACUUAUAGAUGGAUCCGCGCUGCAUUAGCUAGUUGGUAAGGUAACGGCUUACCAAGGCAACGAUGCAUAGCCGACCUGAGAGGGUGAUCGGCCACACUGGAACUGAGACACGGUCCAGACUCCUACGGGAGGCAGCAGUAGGGAAUCUUCCGCAAUGGGCGAAAGCCUGACGGAGCAACGCCGCGUGAGUGAUGAAGGUCUUCGGAUCGUAAAACUCUGUUAUUAGGGAAGAACAUAUGUGUAAGUAACUGUGCACAUCUUGACGGUACCUAAUCAGAAAGCCCCGGCUAACUACGUG